rnacentral:rRNA from 1 species
GAUGAACGCUGGCGGCGUGCUUAACACAUGCAAGUCGAACGGAAAGGCUCCUGCUUGGAGGGGUACUCGAGUGGCGAACGGGUGAGUAACACGUGGGUGAUCUGCCCUGCACUUCGGGAUAAGCCUGGGAAACUGGGUCUAAUACCGGAUAGGACGAUGGUUUGGAUGCCAUUGUGGAAAGUUUUUCGGUGUGGGAUGAGCUCGCGGCCUAUCAGCUUGUUGGUGGGGUAAUGGCCUACCAAGGCGUCGACGGGUAGCCGGCCUGAGAGGGUGUACGGCCACAUUGGGACUGAGAUACGGCCCAGACUCCUACGGGAGGCAGCAGUGGGGAAUAUUGCACAAUGGGCGCAAGCCUGAUGCAGCGACGCCGCGUGGGGGAUGACGGCCUUCGGGUUGUAAACUCCUUUCGCUAGGGACGAAGCGCAAGUGACGGUACCUGGAGAAGAAGCACCGGCUAACUACGUG